rnacentral:sRNA from 1 species
UAUGUUUUAUUCAAAACUAGUUGACAUCUUAUAUAAUAAGAGAAGGUUUUUUCCUAACUUUUCCUAACAUUGCUACAUUUGGCACUUUAUUUUGGUGACACUUGUCUUCUUCCAUUUAUUACUUUGUUUCUUCCAAUUUAUAUCUUCUUUUUAGUAUUUAAUUCCAAAAAAUCAUAUUUAUCCAUUUCGGAUAUAUUUUUAAAUUGAUUUUUGUCUUCUAAUAUUUUUAGUUAAAAAUAAUAUCUUCUUAUUAUCACAUAU